CCAGACUCCUACGGGAGGCAGCAGUGGGGAAUAUUGCACAAUGGGGGAAACCCUGAUGCAGCGACGCCGCGUGAGUGAAGAAGUAUUUCGGUAUGUAAGGCUCUAUCAGCAGGGAAGAAAAUGACGGUACCUGACUAAGAAGCCCCGGCUAACUACGUGCCAGCAGCCGCGGUAAUACGUAGGGGGCAAGCGUUAUCCGGAUUUACUGGGUGUAAAGGGAGCGUAGACGGCAUGGCAAGUCAGAUGUGAAAGCCCGGGGCUCAACCCCGGGACUGCAUUUGGAACUGUGUGGCUGGAGUGUCGGAGAGGCAGGCGGAAUUCCUAGUGUAGCGGUGAAAUGCGUAGAUAUUAGGAGGAACACCAGUGGCGAAGGCGGCCUGCUGGACGACAACUGACGGUGAGGCGCGAAAGCGUGGGGAGCAAACAGGAUUAGAUACCCGCGUAACG
rnacentral:rRNA from 1 species